AAAUGAGUCACAGCUGCAAGCUAAGGGAUUGAAACCUCAACCAAUCAUAUAGGGAGUUUAAGCUCUAGCUGCAGCCUGAUGUUUUUAACCAAUCAGGCCCGUCAACCCACAAGCGGAUUGAAAAUAAGCUAGUUAUGUAGGACAGAAAAAGGAAAAGACGAGGGGUCAUAAGGGGACAUAAGCAUAAGACAGAAGCAAAAAAACGGCAGCCCUUCCAGGUCCCCUUCCACCACGUGGAAGCUUUACUUUUGCUUUCAUUUUACUUUCGCUUUUGCUCUAAUAAAUCUUGCCACCGCACCCUCUUUGGGUCCGCGGGUUUCUCUAAUCUAGCUGUAACACUCGCCACUGCGGCCCACGGCUUCAUUCCUGGAAGCCCGUGAGACCAGGAACCCUUCGAUCGAGAAAAGACCUUCCAUUGGGAGAAGACUUCUCGUCUUAUUUCCACCUAUAAUCUCUUCAAAACAUAGCAGUCAGAGUUACCUGCUGAACUCAUAAGUCACUCAUCUGCUCAAAGCCUCCCAGUGGCUUCUCAUCUCACAGACCUCACCACAAUGUUCCAUUGGCCAGUGCAAGAGAAACCAGGAUGCUUCCUCAUACUGCACAUCUUUAUCUGAGAACCAAAGGACAAAUAUGGGUGUCACAUGCCAGCUCCUUCUACCUCCUUCUGAAACCAGAGGACUGGAUUGGAACCAACAGAGAUCAUGCUGUUUACUUCACAGAUUUCAAGAAAAGUGAAUUCUGAGUAAUCAUUUUUUUUUAGAUCUUCCUAUGUGUAAAAAUCUUUGGUGAGAUUUACCAUCUCAUUUAAAGUUCUUUCACAAUUUUUGUGAAAAUUGAGUGAUGUGUAAUAAAUAAGUUAUUUUUUUUCUUUAUAGCUGAUGCUUGACCUUUUUUCCCUUGGUAAUAUAGCUUACGAAGCAGAUAUAUAUGCCAAUACACCCUUGAUUUUAAGUCUUUCAAAUAGAAGAACAUAGGGAUAAACUGACACAUGAGAGAUGGAUAAAUGUACGGACACAUACAUGUUCAACAGUUGUUGUUUUGGGGAUUAUGCCACAGAGUCAUCAAAUGCUGUCUAACACUAAAUUAGAUUUUCCUGUGAGGUUGUAAGCAACCUGUUGUGGGAAGUAAUCAAGCAGGGACUAGAUAUCCAUCUAUCAGAAAAAAUGAAUUUCUAGAGAGAUAUGGCAUAGCCUUUCCAAAUUUAAGGUUCCAUGAGUGUAGAGAAAUGAGGAUAAUGACUGUUAAUGGUUAGUGUUUACCUUAGGAAAGCCACCAAUCUAAGUAUUCUAUCUGCACUAACUCAUUUAAUCCAGAAAGAGAUGGCUCCGAAAAGGGAAUUUUAACAAUACUCUGCCUUUCUGCAAAGAAAAUGCCAAGUGAGAAAGUUGUAUUGUUGAUAUACACACAUAUUCACAAAAGACCGCUAUAUAGGGAAUAAGCUUUUGCAAAUAAACACACUAUUGCCUCUAAAUCAGUGAGCAGUAUUUCUAAACCAGGAGAUUUAAUCUUCUGAAAUUUCAUGAAAAAUAUUGUAUUUAUGUGCCCAUUUCUGGAGAAAGGUGACAAUUGCCCUCAUCAGCUUUGCGCUCAAAGGUCAAAAUAAUAAUAAUUAUAAAAAACUUUAAAGCUUACCCAGAAACAGAUGUAUUUCACAAGGUCAAUGUAUUAUAUAUUUCAAAAUAACUAAAGAAUAUGAUUUUAAAUGUUCUCACCACAAAGAAAUGAUAAAUAUUUGAGGUGAUAGACACACUUAUUCGCCUGAUUUGAUCAUUCCACAAUUUAUGAGUGUAUUGAAACAUCAUAUUGUGACCCAAAUAUGUAUAGAAUAAUUGUUUAUCAAUUCAAAAUAAAACUGUUUUUAAAAGUGCUUGGCAUAUAUCCUCAAAUGCUGCAGGAGCUAUGGGUUUUACAUGUUA
rnacentral:lncRNA from 10 species